UACAGAGGUCCCAAGCGUUGUUCGGAUUCAUUGGGCGUAAAGGGUGCGUAGGCGGCGCGGUAAGUCGGGUGUGAAAUCUCGGAGCUUAACUCCGAAACUGCAUUCGAUACUGCCGUGCUUGAGGACUGGAGAGGAGACUGGAAUUUACGGUGUAGCGGUGAAAUGCGUAGAGAUCAUGAGGAAGACCAGUGGCGAAGGCGGGUCUCUGGACAGUUCUGACAUGAGAGCACGAAGGCCAGGGGAGCAAACGGG
rnacentral:rRNA from 1 species